rnacentral:rRNA from 1 species
CCUACGGGAGGCAGCAGUGGGGAAUAUUGGACAAUGGGCGAAAGCCUGAUCCAGCAAUUCCGCGUGUGUGAAGAAGGCCUUCGGGUUGUAAAGCACCUUAGUGGGGGAAGAAACAGCUUGGCCACACCAAGCCUUGACGGUACCCCAAGAAUAAGCACCGGCUAACUCUGUGCCAGCAGCCGCGGUAAUACAGAGGGUGCAAGCGUUAAUCGGAUUUACUGGGCGUAAAGGGUGCGUAGGUGGCUAUUUAAGUCGGAUGUGAAAGCCCGGGGCUCAACCUCGGAAUUGCAUUCGAUACUGAGUGGCUAGAGUUCGGUAGAGGGCGGCGGAAUUUCCGGUGUAGCGGUGAAAUGCGUAGAUAUCGGAAGGAACAUCAAUGGCGAAGGCAGCCGCCUGGGCCUGGACUGACACUGAGGCACGAAAGCGUGGGUAGCAAACAGGAUUAGAUACCCUGGUAGUCCACGCCGUAAACGAUGAGAACUUGACGUUGGUUCGUUUUACGAAUCGGUGUCGCAGCUAACGCGAUAAGUUCUCCGCCUGGGGAGUCGGCCGCAAGGUUGAAACUCAAUGAAUUGACGGCUGNGNGNGCGACGCGACGACGAGGGAGGAGG